rnacentral:lncRNA from 13 species
AUGCUGUCCUGUUGGAUGGGAGGGGACGUGAGACCUGCUGCUUGGUCACUGAGCCCACAGGCUAAGAGGAAACAGAUGCCUGCCCCAGCAACCUCUUGGCAUCUGGCUCCCUGUCCCUGCUCCGGGGCACCGGGACCCACUGCUGUGCCCGGAAGACCUGAAUAUGUCCCAGGACAGGAAGGCCACCAUGUGUCCUAUGCCUCCCAGCUCCUUCCCCUGGGACCCUCCCAAGGCAGAGAGCAGAGAAGGGACUCCCACUGUGACGGGGCAUCUUUGGGACUGCAUGACUGCUUUAGAAACAUCUGGAGUGAUGGACGUUUCAGGCCAUGCGUCUGCACAGGGGGCACGGGGAAGACGCUGACCAGGAGCUGUCCUCUACUCCCCCUCUGGCCUCCUGCACAUCGGAGCUGAGAAGACCCACCUCACCCUGCUGGGAACCUCGUGACGCCCACCGCCUGUGAAGCCCAUUCCACGCACCCAGACUUGGGCUCUGCACCGGGAACCUGCUGUCCUCUGCACUAUGAACACUCACCCACUGUCUCUGACUGAAAUCCUUUCUCACCUGGGGAUGCCCCGUCCACGGGCCAUGUUCCAAGAGCCUUCCUGAUUCUGGCUGCCAGGUCUUAAGGAAGGAGGCCUGUCACCUCUGCACCCACCCAUCUGAACAUGGAGGUCAUGGCUAUGUUCCUUCCCCACCCUGUCAGUGCCACGGUCUUCACCGCAUGCUCCUACAUGCUGAGCAGCAGAGCUGCAUGUCUUCACCUUUAAUGAGGAAACACGUGUUCUGCAGAUGAAGGAACGGGGAGGCCACAGCACGGUGGAGCGGGGAGGCCGCCCUCCACAUUCCAACCCCAGGAAAAAGUAACCUGGAGGCAGAAAAAGCCAAAUUGAAGAAUGGACAGUUAUCCACCGAACAUUCUCGAAGGGGAACUGGGUUAUACUGUUUUGAAUUUGAGGUCAAUCUAUUGAAAUUGUUUUUUAAUUCAAAUGAUGGCUUUGUCACCAAUAGCUUAAAAGGCAAACAACGAGCUUGAACACCACACACACACUCCUGAAGUCUAGUCUGUUCUCUGAAAUUGAUGUUUGCCAAUAAACAGGCGCCAUCAGGAAAAAUAGAGGUUUUC